rnacentral:rRNA from 1 species
UACGUAGGCAGCAAGCGUUGUUCGGAAUUACUGGGCGUAAAGAGUGUGUAGGCGGUGCUCUAAGUUCGGUGUGAAAUCUCCCGGCUCAACUGGGGAGGGUCGUGCGAAACGGGUGAACUAGAGGCCAGUAGGGGGAUGCGGAAUUCCGGGUGUAGUGGUGGAAUGCGUAGAGAUCCGGAGGAACACCAGCGGCGAAGGCGGCAUCCUGGACUGGUCCUGACACUCAGGAGCGAAAGCGUGGGGAGCGAUCCGG